rnacentral:rRNA from 1 species
GUGCCAGCAGCCGCGGUAAAACGUAGGUGGCAAGCGUUGUCCGGAAUUACUGGGUGUAGAGGGAGCGCAGGCGGGAUUGCAAGUUGGAAGUGAAAACUAUGGGCUCAACCCAUAGCCUGCUUUCAAAACUGCAGUUCUUGAGUAGUGCAGAGGUAGGCGGAAUUCCCGGUGUAGCGGUGGAAUGCGUAGAUAUCGGGAGGAACACCAGUGGCGAAGGCGGCCUACUGGGCACCAACUGACGCUGAGGCUCGAAAGCAUGGGUAGCAAACAGGAUUAGAUACCCUGGUAGUCCAUGCCGUAAACGAUGAUUACUAGGUGUUGGAGGAUUGACCCCUUCAGUGCCGCAGUUAACACAAUAAGUAAUCCACCUGGGGAGUACGACCGCAAGGUUGAAACUCAAAGGAAUUGACGGGGGCCCGCACAAGCAGUGGAGUAUGUGGUUUAAUUCGAAGCAACGCGAAGAACCUUACCAGGUCUUGACAUCCGAUGCAUAGCGCAGAGAUGCGUGAAGUCCUUCGGGACAUCGAGACAGGUGGUGCAUGGUUGUCGUCAGCUCGUGUCGUGAGAUGUUGGGUUAAGCCCCGCAACGAGCGCAACCCCUAUCGUCAGUUACUACGCAAGAGGACUCUGGCGAGACUGCCGUUGACAAAACGGAGGAAGGUGGGGAUGACGUCAAAUCAUCAUGCCCCUUAUGACCUGGGCUACACACGUACUACAAUGGCGUUUAACAAAGAGAAGCAAAAUCGCGAGAUGGAGCAAAACUCAUAAACAACGUCCCAGUUCAGAUUGCAGGCUGCAACUCGCCUGCAUGAAGUCGGAAUUGCUAGUAAUCGCGGAUCAGCAUGCCGCGGUGAAUACGUUCCCGGGCCUUGUACACACCGCCCGU